rnacentral:misc_RNA from 1 species
GAUGAAGAACGUAGUGAAAUGCGAUAAGUAAUGUGAAUUGCAGAAUUCAGUGAAUCAUCGAAUCUUUGAACGCACAUUGCGCCCGCCAGUAUUCUGGCGGGCAUGCCUGUCUGAGCGUCAUUUCAACCCUCAAGCAACUUCUGCUUGGUGUUGGGGAUCGGCCGUCAAACGCCGCCCCCGAAAUCUAUUGGCGAUCUCGCUGUAGCUUCCUAUGCGUAGUAGUAACAUCUCGCAUCUGGAGAGCGGCGCGGUCAUGCCGUAAAACACCCAACUUCGCAGGUUGACCUCAGAUCAGGUAGGAAUACCCGCUGAACUUAAGCAUAUCAAUAAGCGGAGGA